UACGGAGGGUGCAAGCGUUAUCCGGAUUCACUGGGUUUAAAGGGUGCGUAGGUGGGUUGGUAAGUCAGUGGUGAAAUCUCCGUGCUUAACAUGGAAACUGCCAUUGAUACUACUGGUCUUGAAUUUUCUGGAGGUAAGCGGAAUAUGUCAUGUAGCGGUGAAAUGCUUAGAUAUGACAUAGAACACCAAUUGCGAAGGCAGCU
rnacentral:rRNA from 1 species